GAUGAACGCUGGCGGCGUGCCUAAUACAUGCAAGUCGAGCGAACAGAUAAGGAGCUUGCUCCUUUGACGUUAGCGGCGGACGGGUGAGUAACACGUGGGUAACCUACCUAUAAGACUGGAAUAACUCCGGGAAACCGGUGCUAAUGCCGGAUAACAUUUAGAACCGCAUGGUUCUAAAGUUAAAGGUGUUUUUGCUAUCACUUAUAGAUGGACCCGCGCCGUAUUAGCUAGUUGGUAAGGUAACGGCUUACCAAGGCAACGAUACGUAGCCGACCUGAGAGGGUGAUCGGCCACACUGGAACUGAGACACGGUCCAGACUCCUACGGGAGGCAGCAGUAGGGAAUCUUCCGCAAUGGGCGAAAGCCUGACGGAGCAACGCCGCGUGAGUGAUGAAGGUCUUCGGAUCGUAAAACUCUGUUAUUAGGGAAGAACAAAUGUGUAAGUAACUGUGCACGUCUUGACGGUACCUAAUCAGAAAGCCACGGCUAACUACGUG
rnacentral:rRNA from 1 species